GCUCGUCAAGCCGGAUGUGAAAGCCCCGGGCUCAACCCGGGAACGGCAUUCGGAACUGGCUGGCUAGAGUGCAGGAGAGGAAGGUGGAAUUCCCGGUGUAGCGGUGAAAUGCGUAGAGAUCGGGAGGAAUCCCAGUGGCGAAGGCGGCCUUCUGGACUGACACUGACGCUGAGGCGCGAAAGCGUGGGUAGCAAACAGGAUUAGAUACCCUGGUAGUCCACGCCGUAAACGAUGUCGACCAGCCGUUGGACCCCUUGAGGGUUUGGUGGCGCAGUUAACGCAAUAAGUCGACCGCCUGGGGAGUACGGCCGCAAGGCUAAAACUCAAAUGAAUUGACGGGGGCCCGCACAAGCGGUGGAGCAUGUGGUUUAAUUCGAUGCAACGCGAAGAACCUUACCUGCUCUUUGACAUCCUGCGAAUUCCUCAGAGAUGAGGAAGUGCCUUCGGGAGCGCAGAGACAGGUGCUGCAUGGCUGUCGUCAGCUCGUGUUGUGAAAUGUUGGGUUAAGUCCCGUAACGAGCGCAACCCCUAUCCCUUUUUGCCAGCGCGUAAUGGCGGGAACUUCAGGGAGACUGCCGGUGACAAACCGGAGGAAGGUGGGGACGACGUCAAGUCAUCAUGGCCCUUACGAGCAGGGCUACACACGUGCUACAAUGGCCGGUACAAAGGGUUGCGAAGCGGCGACGUGAAGCUAAUCCCAUAAAGCCGGCCUCAGUCCGGAUCGGAGUCUGCAACUCGACUCCGUGAAGUCGGAAUCGCUAGUAAUCGUGGAUCAGAAUGCC
rnacentral:rRNA from 1 species